GAUGAACGCUAGCGGCGUGCUUAACACAUGCAAGUCGAACGAAGUGGCGAACGGGUGAGUAACGCGUAAUCAACCUGCCCUUCAGAGGGGGAAAACAGUUGGAAACGACUGCUAAUACCGCAUACUGAAGGAGGGGAUUGUGUCUGAUUAGCUAGUUGGAGGGGUAACGGCCAACCGAGGCGAAGAUCAGUAGGCGGUCUGAGAGGGUGAACGGCCACAUUGGGACUGGGACACGGCCCAGACUCCUACGGGAAGCAACAGUGGGGGAGCAUCCGCAAUGGACGAAAGUCUGACGGAGCAACGCCGCGUGAGUUAUGACGGCCUUCGGGUUUGAAAGCUCUGUUAAUCGGGACGCGGUACCGGAAUAGAAAGCCACGGCUAACUACGUGCCAGCAGCCGCGGUAAUUC
rnacentral:rRNA from 1 species